rnacentral:rRNA from 1 species
CCUACGGGAGGCAGCAGUAGGGAAUCUUUCACAAUGGGCGAAAGCCUGAUGGAGCAACGCCGCGUGCAGGAUGAAGGCCUGGGUUGUAAACCUCUUUUGCCGGGGAGCAACGGGCGUCACGUGUGGCGCCACUGAGAGUACCCGGAGAAAAAGCAUCGGCUAACUCCGUGCCAGCAGCCGCGGUAAUACGGAGGAUGCGAGCGUUAUCCGGAUUUAUUGGGUUUAAAGGGUGCGUAGGCGGAUCGUUAAGUCAGUGGUCAAAUUGAGGGGCUCAACCCCUUCCCGCCAUUGAAACUGGCGUUCUUGAGUGGAAGAGAAGUAUGCGGAAUGCGUGGUGUAGCGGUGAAAUGCAUAGAUAUCACGCAGAACCCCGAUUGCGAAGGCAGCAUGCCGGCUUCCGACUGACGCUGAAGCACGAAAGCGUGGGGAUCGAACAGGAUUAGAUACCCCUGUAGUC